rnacentral:rRNA from 1 species
UUGCCCUAGUAACGGCGAGUGAAGCGGCAAUAGCUCAGAUUUGAAAUCUGGCGUCUUUGGCGUCCGAGUUGUAAUCUGUAGAGGAUGCCUUUGGGUAGCCACCGGUCUAAGUCCCCUGGAACGGGGCGUCACAGAGGGUGAGAAUCCCGUAUGUGACCGGAAGGGCACCCUCCACAAGGCUCCUUCGACGAGUCGAGUUGUUUGGGAAUGCAGCUCUAAAUGGGAGGUAAAUUCCUUCUAAAGCUAAAUACCGGCCAGAGACCGAUAGCGCACAAGUAGAGUGAUCGAAAGAUGAAAAGCACUUUGGAAAGAGAGUUAAAAAGCACGUGAAAUUGUUGAAAGGGAAGCGCUUGCAACCAGACUUGUUGGCGGUGUUCCGCCGGUCUUCUGACCGGUCCACUCACCGUCUGCAGGCCAGCAUCAUCUGGGGCCGCCGGAUAAAAGCGAGGGGAAUGUGGCUCCCCCGGGAGUGUUAUAGCCCCUCGUGCAAUACGGCGAGCCUCGGGUGAGGUCCGCGCUUCGGCUAGGAUGCUGGCGUAAUGGUCGUAAGCGGCCCGUCUUGAAACACGGACCAAGGAGUCUAACAUCUAUGCGAGUGUUCGGGUGUCAAACCCCUACGCGUAAUGAAAGUGAACGGAGGUGGGAGCCUUAGGGUGCACCAUCGACCGAUCCUGAUGUCUUCGGAUGGAUUUGAGUAAGAGCAUAGCUGUUGGGACCCGAAAGAUGGUGAACUAUGCCUGGAUAGGGUGAAGCCAGAGGAAACUCUGGUGGAGGCUCGCAGCGGUUCUGACGUGCAAAUCGAUCGUCAAAUUUGGGUAUAGGGGCGAAAGACUAAU